rnacentral:rRNA from 1 species
AAGGAAUAUUGGUCAAUGGGCGCAAGCCUGAACCAGCCAUGCCGCGUGCAGGAAGACGGCCCUAUGGGUUGUAAACUGCUUUUGUCAGGGAAUAAACCUGUUUACGAGUAGACAGCUGAAGGUACCUGAAGAAUAAGCAUCGGCUAACUCCGUGCCAGCAGCCGCGGUAAUACGGAGGAUGCAAGCGUUAUCCGGAUUCAUUGGGUUUAAAGGGUGCGCAGGCGGAUUAUUAAGUCAGGGGUGAAAUCCCACGGCUCAACCGUGGAACUGCCUUUGAUACUGAUAGUCUAGAGUAUAGUUGAAGUUGGCGGAAUGUGUCAUGUAGCGGUGAAAUGCUUAGAUAUGACACAGAACACCGAUCGCGAAGGCAGCUAGCUAAGCUAUAACUGACGCUCAUGCACGAAAGCGUGGGGAUCAAAC